rnacentral:RNase_P_RNA from 1 species
GGAGCAAGUCGGGUAAUCGCUUUUAUUGUUAAAAUUGAAAGAGGAAAGUCCGAACACCGAAGAGCAGCGAGCCGGAUAAUGACCGGGCGUUUGAUUUAAAAGUCGAGCGACGACAAGUGCAACAGAGAACAGACCAGCCAUUUGGAUUUUGGAUUUUGGAUUUUGGAUUUUGGAUUUUAUAUUCAGUUCGGAUUACAAAACCAUUUCGGAGUUGGUGAUGGGUGAAACGGUGCGGUUUCGUUGGGAAACUUAAAGUAAGAGCGCACCAGCGCAUUUGGUAACAAAGGCGGCUGGGUAAACUCCUCGCGGUGCAAGACCAAAUAGGGAAAUGUAUUUAAUGAGUUGCUCGCUCAUUUGUCCGAAGCGAUUCGGGCGGCUUUUCCGGGUAGGUCGCUUGAGCUAUUUGGCGACAAAUAGCCUAGAUGAAUGAUUGCCAUCCGCUUUUUUUAGCGGACACAAAAUUCGGCUUAUAGACUUGCUCCAAUU